rfam:Rhodocyclales bacterium GWA2_65_20 gwa2_scaffold_25956, whole genome shotgun sequence.
UCUCUCGCGAGGGGGAAUCUAAAGGACGCCGAAGGCAAAUCGCCGGCCUGACGAACAGGAAGCGGAUACGAGGCGGCGUAGCGGGGUAAGGCGGCCAUUAUCGUCAAAGCCCGAUACCUGCGGGCGCAAUCCGAUUACGCGGAUAUCGCGCGGUAUUUCUU